rnacentral:ncRNA from 2 species
ACAAUUUGAUCCAGGACAGGUGUUUAACCAACCUAACAGGGAAGACGGUGUAAAUCCGUCGCGGUCCCGCCGCUGUAACCGGUGACGAUAGCCACACGAUGCCACUUUUUUUUCAUAAAAGGGAAGGCGUGGCUGGUAGGAUGAUCCGGAAGCCAGAAGACCUGCCUGUCCUAUGUACGUGCU